CACGUAGGGUGCAAGCGUUGUCCGGAUUCAUUGGGCGUAAAGGGCUAGUAGGCGGCUUAGCAAGUCGGGUGUGAAAACUUACACGGCUCAACCUGGAGCGGCCAUCCGAUACUGCUAUGGCUAGAGUCCGGGUAGGGGACCGACGGAAUUCCUGGUGUAGCGGGUGAAAUGACGCAGAUAUCAGGAGGAACACCGGUAGGGCGAAAGGCGGGUGGUCUGGGGCCGGAACUGACGCUGAAUAGCGAAAGCGUGGGUAGCGAACAGG
rnacentral:rRNA from 1 species